AGUUGCUAAGACAGGAUAGGAAAUUAAGAGGCAUCUUUUAAUUUUUAAAAGACCUUUUUCGAAAGGUAUACUUAAAGAGGGGCUUGCGCCACAUUAGUUAGUUGGUAAGGUAAAGGCUUACCAAGACGAUGAUGUGUAGCUGGACUGAGAGGUCGAACAGCCACAUUGGGACUGAGACACGGCCCAAACUCCUACGGGAGGCAGCAGUAAGGAAUUUUUGGCAAUGGAGGAAACUCUGACCGAGCGACGUCGCGUGAACAAUGAAGUACUUCGGUAUGUAAAGUUCUUUUAUUGAAAAAGAAAAAAUAGUGGAAAAACUAUCUUGACAUUAUUCAAUGAAUAAGCCCCGGCUAAUUAUGUGCCAGCAGCCGCGGUAAUACAUAAGGGGCGAGCGUUAUCCGGAGUUAUUGGGCGUAAAGGGUGCGUAGGCGGUUUGAUAAGUCUAUAGUUUAAAUGCAGUGCUUAACGCUGUAGCGCUAUAGAAACUGUCUGACUAGAGUUAGAUAGAGGCAAGCGGAAUUCCAUGUGUAGCGGUAAAAUGCGUAAAUAUAUGGAGGAGCACCAGAGGCGUAGGCGGCUUGCUGGGUCUUAACUGACGCUGAGGCACGAAAGCGUGGGGAGCAAACAGGAUUAGAUACCCUGGUAGUCCACGCCGUAAACGAUGAGUACUAAGUGUCGGGUUUCGGCUCGGUACUGAAGUUAACACAUUAAGUACUCCGCCUGAGUAGUACGUACGCAAGUAUGAAACUUAAAGGAAUUGACGGGACCCCGCACAGGCGGUGGAUCAUGUUGUUUAAUUCGAAGAUACACGAAAAACCUUACCAGGUCUUGACAUAAUUUUGCGACAUUAUAGAAAUAUAAUGAAGGUUAUCAGAAUUACAGGUGGUGCAUGGUUGUCGUCAGCUCGUGUCGUGAGAUGUUAGGUUAAGUCCUAAAACGAGCGCAACCCUUGUCGUUAGUUGCGACCACGUAAUGGUGAGCACUUUAGCGAGACUGCCAAUGAAAAAUUGGAGGAAGGUGAGGAUUACGUCAAAUCAUCAUGCCCCUUAUGAUCUGGGCUACAAACGUGAUACAAUGGCUGUUACAAAGAGUAGCUACAACGUGAGUUUUUAGCCAAUCUCAAAAAAACAGUCUCAGUUCGGAUUGAAGUCUGCAACUCGACUUCAUGAAGUUGGAAUCGCUAGUAAUCGCGAAUCAGCAUGCCGCGGUGAAUACGUUCUCGGGGUUUGUACACACCGCCCGU
rnacentral:rRNA from 1 species